AAGUCGUAACAAGGUCUCCGUAGGUGAACCUGCGGAGGGAUCAUUACCGAGUGAGGGCCCCGGGCCCGACCUCCAACCCUUUGAAGUUACCAACUCUGUUGCCUCGGGGGCGACCCGGCCUUCGUGUCGGCGCCCCCGGAGGACCACACCACUCUGCGUUUCUGCGUCGGAGUCUGAGCGGAAUUUUAAUCAAAACUUUUAACAACGGAUCUCUUGGUUCUG
rnacentral:misc_RNA from 1 species